rnacentral:rRNA from 1 species
AUUGAACGCUGGCGGCAUGCUUUACACAUGCAAGUCGAACGGCAGCGCGGGCUUCGGCCUGGCGGCGAGUGGCGAACGGGUGAGUAAUACAUCGGAACGUGCCCAGUAGUGGGGGAUAGCUCGGCGAAAGCCGGAUUAAUACCGCAUACGACCUGAGGGUGAAAGCGGGGGAUCUUCGGACCUCGCGCUCUUGGAGGGGCCGAUGGCCGAUUAGCUAGUUGGUGGGGUAAAGGCCUACCAAGGCGACGAUCUGUAGCUGGUCUGAGAGGACGACCGGCCACACUAGGACUGAGACACGGCCCAGACUCCUACGGGAGGCAGCAGUGGGGAAUGUUGGACAAUGGGCGAAAGCCUGAUCCAGCAAUGCCGCGUGUGUGAUGAAGGCCUUCGGGUUGUAAAGCACUUUUGGCGGGAACGAAAAGGACUGUGCCAAUACCACGGUUGGAUGACGGUACCCGCAGAAGAAGCACCGGCUAACUACGUG